rnacentral:rRNA from 1 species
UACGUAGGGUGCGAGCGUUGUCCGGAAUUGAUUGGGCGUAAAGAGCUCGUAGGCGGUGUGUCACGUCGGCCCGUGAAAACCUGCAGCUUAACUGUGGGCGUGCGGUCGAUACGGGCAUCACUGGAGUUCGGCAGGGGAGACUGGAAUUCCUGGUGUAGCGGUGAAAUGCGCAGAUAUCGAGGAGGAACACCGGUGGCGAAGGCGGAUCUGCUGGGCCUUACCUGACGCUCAGGCGCGAAAGCUAGGGGAGCGAACUGG